CGGAAAUACAUCAGGAAACUCACAAACUACAGGUCUGCUGAAAAUUUGGUGUUGUGGAUUAUUAUUGGUUGAUUUCUGCGCAUUGCCUCUACUGUAAUCUUCCCUCCAGAUCGGCGCCGCCGCCAGCGACGGGAAAGAUGCCGCUGCUAGAUCCUCCACACUCUCUCUCCCCUGAUGUGAUUCCCCAUAUUAUCCCCAUGAAUUUCAGCCUCAACUCUCUAAUCCCCCUCUGUGUGUGUGUUCUUUUUGGCUUGCAGGUCAAACCCUAUUGGGGAUGUGAUUUCCCUGCUCCGGAUUGAAGUGGUCGGUGUUGGGCGUCGCCGUAAUGCUGGAUGGUGCAGGUUAGAGCUCCAGUGCGUGGCCAUGGAGCAGAUCGAACAUAUGUGCAGGGGAAUGCUAGUGUUGCUGGGAAGAAGAGGGCUUGGUCUGGCUAUUUUGGGUAGAGCUGAGACGAGUGAAACUUGGCAGUUGCUUACUCUACUCUCCUUGCCAUCUAAUAUCUGAUAUCCACCUCCCUUGGCUGGUAUGGCUGCCCAUCCUCUUCUCCAUUGUUCUCACAGGUGCUAGCUUCUAAUUGGCUGAAGGUUGAAGCCCAUACAUAGACUAUACUGUUGACCAAUUGACUAUUAAUAUGGUGCACGUGAGGGUGGUGGUCCAUGUGUCUUGCUGUACUGGUUGACCCAGAGAUAUUUUGUGUUGGUCCAACUGUAUAGCUUAGCAUAGCAUGGUCUCCCUAAAUUUUUUUCCAAAGAUUUGUAAUACACUUUUACAGCUAUACUGUCUGAGGUUUAUGAAUAUAAAUAUAUAUAAUUGAGUGGUUAUGAU